GCAGUACUUCCUUCGUCCGAAAUUACUUGUCGUAGAAAUGGAUGUAUCUAGACACAUAUUUACUUUUAGAUACAUCAUUUUUUAUCCAUUUUUGAGACAAGUAAUUUGGGACGGAAGGAGUAGAUA
rnacentral:pre_miRNA from 1 species